rnacentral:lncRNA from 1 species
CCAAGUUCUUCAGCUUUGGGACACAGACUGGCUUCCUUGCUCUUCAGCUUACAGAUGGCCUGUCAUGGGACCUCACCUUGUGAUCCCGAGACUCUACUGGGUACUUCAGAGAUCCCCAAACACUGGUCAUCUGUGACCUGAAGUUCCACACAAGUGCAUCUCUAUUAACCAUGCUGACCAGUUGUUUCUCAUCCUCCAUGUUGCUCCUCCAGAUUUUUGGCUCAACAAAAAUACCCUCGUUGUUUUGUGGUUCUAUCCAUAUGCUUUUUCUGACAGUUUUACUUACUUCUUUUAGGAAUGCUGCACUUAUCUUGUCCAUUACCCCUUCUUCAAGUGUUUAUAUAUAUCUCAACCAACUCUUUCACAAUAUUUGUUGAUGUGGCCACCUGAAAAAAAAAAACUCUCCAUGUAGUGGAAAGUUUACUAAAUCUGGGAGCAGUUUACCCCAUUGCUUGACUCUGAAUUCUGAUAUAAAAUUCUUCAUAUUAGGCAAAACUCUUUAUACUUAUAGUUUUUCUAAAUUGAUUCUGGUUUUCUUUUUGAAGCCUCUUCCAUGUAAGAUGCCUUUGAAUAUUUUUAGAUAUUUAUUAUGCCAUUUCAAGUCUUCUCUUCUUCAUUAAAGAGAAACAUCCUUAGUUCAAAGUAGUUUGAUGCUGGCCCACCCAGCUGGCCUCCACCUCCUUCAACAGCACCAUCAAAAGUACUCCUUCUAUAGCACUUCCAGUCCAGAGUUCUGGCCUCUAUUGAAAUACUGAUUUGCUGGUCUGUUCAUCUAGAGUCUAACUCCCUGAAUAGCAAAUGUGCUGGAUAGGCUACUUCCUAAGACCAGAGAAUCCUACUCCUGACAUCAGGGACCUGCAUUUAUCAAUGAUAAACCCACCAUAUAUCCCGUUCCUGUGAAAACUAUAUACCUUUCCCCAUGUUAUCCUAAUUGCACUGCACGAUGCUGGCAUCUGCUGAUCCAGCUGCCGACCAUCUCUCUCCCUUUCAAAACUGCACAAUUCCUCUGGAACUUCAUUUCGUAUUAAAUAUAACCCCAUAGAUACUCAAACUUUUUAGUAAACAUUCCAUACACUUUAUUUCAUUAGCUGAAAACUGCUUCCUUUCCUGUUUACACCUCCCUAAAAGCUGACAUGAUUCCAUCAUGUAUUGUCCAAACUGGGAUAUUUUUUAGAGUAAAUAGAUAAAACCAUUAGUAAUUACAAUAUGAGAUUAGGGGUAAACUGGGACUGGGACUGCCCUGAACAAACCAGGAUGUAUGUCCAUAAUAGUUUCCUGGGGCUGCCAUAAGAAAUGACCAUAAAUGAGUGGUUCAAGGUAACAGAAAUGUAUUCACAUAUAGUUGAGGAAACUAGAAGUCUGCAGUCAAGAUGUCAGCAGGUUUCCUUCCUUUCAGAGGCUCUGAGGGAGAAGAAAUCUCAUGUUUCUCUCCUAGCUUCUUGUGGUUGCCAACAAUUCUUUGCUGUACCUUGACUUUUAGAUACAUCACUCCGAUCUCUGCCCAUAUUGUCACAUUGCCUACUUAACUGUGUCACUCUCUUCUCCUACUCUAUCUCUUGUUAGGGCUUACACUAAAUGUCAGAGUCAUUUUAAUCCCAUAUGAUCUUACCUUGAUCUUUAAUUACAUCUGCCAAGAGCCUUAGUCCAAAUAAGGUUACAUUGUGAAGUUCAGGUCGGAAUGGAUUUUUGAGGGACAUAGUUCAACACACCACAAUGGUCAAACUACCUACAGGAUGAUGGUUCUUCUCCCACAGUCCAUAGCUUUUGGAGUUGUGAGGUGCAGUUAACACAUUCUCUCCCCGUGCCAUUUCUACAUUAUUCCUUCAUCUUGUAUUAAAAUAUCCCUCUUGAUACUCAUGUCAGUUGGUUAAAUCAUAUUCCUUUUUUUUUGUUUCAAUCUCAGUCAAGUCCCUUCUUUUAUCAAAACCUAUUUAAGUUCAACA